CACCACUCUAGCAAGGGUGGGACGGAAGAUGUCGCUCAGGUAGAGAUAAGGGGAAGUCUUGCUGAAAAAAAAGAAAAUCGAAGAUGGAGUCUGCUUCGAUCGCUACUACCUCACCGGUUACUGCUCCUUCUAUUGUCAUGAAGGAAAUAAGGGGCUCUCCUCCUUGGGGGAUGGCAUCGCAUGGGAAGCCUUUGUUUUUUCAACUUCACCACCAAAAACCUUAACUGUUGAUCCCAAUCGAUCGUAGAGCCAAGUUGUUCAAGGAC
rnacentral:lncRNA from 1 species